UACUGGUUCUCCUAAAGACUCAAGUGCA
rnacentral:sRNA from 1 species